UUCUAACCGUAAACUAUGCCAACUAGCGAUCCGUCGGUGUUAAAUAUUGACUCGACGGGCAGCUUCCGGGAAACCAAAGUUUAUAGGUUCCGGGGGAAGUAUGGUUGCAAAGCUUAAACUUAAAGGAAUUGACGGAAGGGCACCACCAGGAGUGGAGCCUGCGGCUUAAUUUGACUCAACACGGGGAAACUCACCCGGCCAGGACACAAUAAGGAUUGACAGAUUGAUAGCUCUUUCUUGAUUUUGUGGGUGGUGGUGCAUGGCCGUUCUUAGUUGGUGGAGCGAUUUGUCUGGUUAAUUCCGAUAACGAACGAGACUCUAGCCUAUUAAAUAGACGAUAUAUUUUAUUCGUAUAUCGAGCUUCUUAGAGGGACGAGCAGCUUCUAGCUGCACGAGAUUGAGCAAUAACAGGUCUGUGAUGCCCUUAGAUGUCCGGGGCUGCACGCGCGCUACAAUGAAAAUAGCAGCGCGUUUCGAAAACCUUUUCUGGAAAGAAUUGGUAAACGCGAAAUAUUUUCGUGAUAGGGAUAGGGGAUUGCAAUUAUUGCCCUGAACGAGGA
rnacentral:rRNA from 1 species